rnacentral:rRNA from 1 species
UUUAAGCUUCCUACGGGAGGCUGCAGUGGGGAAUAUUGGACAAUGGGCGCAAGCCUGAUCCAGCCAUGCCGCGUGAGUGACGAAGGUCUUCGGAUUGUAAAGCUCUUUUGCCAGGGACGAUAAUGACGGUACCUGGAGAAUAAGCCCCGGCUAACUUCGUGCCAGCAGCCGCGGUAAUACGAAGGGGGCUAGCGUUGUUCGGAAUUACUGGGCGUAAAGCGCACGUAGGCGGAUUUGUAAGUUAGGGGUGAAAUCCCGGGGCUCAACCUCGGAACUGCCUUUGAUA